rnacentral:rRNA from 1 species
GACGAACCGUGCGAACGUUGUUCGGAAUCACUGGGCUUAAAGGGCGCGUAGGCGGUUGACCAAGUCCGGGGUGAAAUCUUUCGGCUUAACCGGAAAAGUGCCUUGGAUACUGGUCGGCUCGAGCGAGGUAGGGGCAGCUGGAACUUCCAGUGGAGCGGUGAAAUGCGUUGAUAUUGGAAGGAACGCCGGUGGCGAAAGCGAGCUGCUGGACCUCUUCUGACGCUGAGGCGCGAAAGCUAGGGGAGCGAACGGG